GGGUUGUGAGGUUAAGCGACUAAGCGUACACGGUGGAUGCCCUGGCAGUCAGAGGCGAUGAAGGACGUGCUAAUCUGCGAUAAGCGUCGGUGAGGUGAUAUGAACCGUUAUAACCGGCGAUUUCCGAAUGGGGAAACCCAGUGUGUUUCGACACACUAUCAUUAACUGAAUCCAUAGGUUAAUGAGGCGAACCGGGGGAACUGAAACAUCUAAGUACCCCGAGGAAAAGAAAUCAACCGAGAUUCCCCCAGUAGCGGCGAGCGAACGGGGAGGAGCCCAGAGCCUGAAUCAGUGUGUGUGUUAGUGGAAGCGUCUGGAAAGGCGUGCGAUACAGGGUGACAGCCCCGUACACAAAAAUGCACAUAUUGUGAGCUCGAUGAGUAGGGCGGGACACGUGGUAUCCUGUCUGAAUAUGGGGGGACCAUCCUCCAAGGCUAAAUACUCCUGACUGACCGAUAGUGAACCAGUACCGUGAGGGAAAGGCGAAAAGAACCCCGGCGAGGGGAGUGAAAAAGAACCUGAAACCGUGUACGUACAAGCAGUGGGAGCCUCUUAAUGGGGUGACUGCGUACCUUUUGUAUAAUGGGUCAGCGACUUAUAUUCUGUAGCAAGGUUAACCGAAUAGGGGAGCCGAAGGGAAACCGAGUCUUAACUGGGCGUUAAGUUGCAGGGUAUAGACCCGAAACCCGGUGAUCUAGCCAUGGGCAGGUUGAAGGUUGGGUAACACUAACUGGAGGACCGAACCGACUAAUGUUGAAAAAUUAGCGGAUGACUUGUGGCUGGGGGUGAAAGGCCAAUCAAACCGGGAGAUAGCUGGUUCUCCCCGAAAGCUAUUUAGGUAGCGCCUCGUGAAUUCAUCUCCGGGGGUAGAGCACUGUUUCGGCAAGGGGGUCAUCCCGACUUACCAACCCGAUGCAAACUGCGAAUACCGGAGAAUGUUAUCACGGGAGACACACGGCGGGUGCUAACGUCCGUCGUGAAGAGGGAAACAACCCAGACCGCCAGCUAAGGUCCCAAAGUCAUGGUUAAGUGGGAAACGAUGUGGGAAGGCCCAGACAGCCAGGAUGUUGGCUUAGAAGCAGCCAUCAUUUAAAGAAAGCGUAAUAGCUCACUGGUCGAGUCGGCCUGCGCGGAAGAUGUAACGGGGCUAAACCAUGCACCGAAGCUGCGGCAGCGACACUAUGUGUUGUUGGGUAGGGGAGCGUUCUGUAAGCCUGUGAAGGUGGCCUGUGAGGGUUGCUGGAGGUAUCAGAAGUGCGAAUGCUGACAUAAGUAACGAUAAAGCGGGUGAAAAGCCCGCUCGCCGGAAGACCAAGGGUUCCUGUCCAACGUUAAUCGGGGCAGGGUGAGUCGACCCCUAAGGCGAGGCCGAAAGGCGUAGUCGAUGGGAAACAGGUUAAUAUUCCUGUACUUGGUGUUACUGCGAAGGGGGGACGGAGAAGGCUAUGUUGGCCGGGCGACGGUUGUCCCGGUUUAAGCGUGUAGGCUGGUUUUCCAGGCAAAUCCGGAAAACCAAGGCUGAGGCGUGAUGACGAGGCACUACGGUGCUG
rnacentral:rRNA from 1 species